UACGAAGGGGGCUAGCGUUGCUCGGAAUCACUGGGCGUAAAGCGCACGUAGGCGGCUUGUUAAGUCAGGGGUGAAAUCCUGGAGCUCAACUCCAGAACUGCCUUUGAUACUGGCGAGCUUGAGUCCGGGAGAGGUGAGUGGAACUGCGAGUGUAGAGGUGAAAUUCGUAGAUAUUCGCAAGAACACCAGUGGCGAAGGCGGCUCACUGGCC
rnacentral:rRNA from 1 species